UCUCUCUUUCUCUCUUUCUCUCUCUCUCCAUUUCCAGCGAUCCUUCCUUAUUUGGGUUGUGCUUUUCUCACAGAAUCCGUGUCUGGUAAAACCCCUCUUCGAGUUAAUCUCUGUUUGUCAUUUUGGGCUUGUUUCUUCGUUGAGAAAAGAUCUAUCGAGGUGAGCGUGAGAGAUAAGGGAGGACGCCAAUCGUUAUGGUCUGGGUAUUGGGUAAUUUAAUUUAUAAUUAAUCCAAGGGUUUUCGUCGACGGAAAUGGUGGAGUUUGAAGAGAUUGCAGCUGAAUUUAUGUAAGAAUCUCCAAGCUUUGCACAACCAGUAGUUCAAUUGGCUAGUUAUUUCCUUCGCCGUCUUUGUUGCUUAGCGAUAAUUAUCUGAAUUUCCUGUUUUGGCUGAAGAAAUUCUUUGAAAAUUUUCUUUUCGAAAGACUGCAAUUCAUGAAUUUUGAGACUUGGGUUUGAUAAAAUAGCUGCCGUUUUUGGAACGACUGGGGAGAGUAUUGGGUUAUCUUGAGAUUACAAUUGGUCUUUGUAGGAUUUGUGAUAGGUAGUAGUUCUUUAAGAUAAUAAGCGAGGUGGAUUCUGUUUGGAAUGAAGUAAUUGAUAGGGGGGGGGGGGGAGUGAUCUUUGGGAGAAUGUCUGAGGAGAAUUUGGGGUUGUCUUUUAUGACUUGAUUUGAAUGGAGAACCUUAGGAUGGUUGAUGACAUGCUGGGCGACGGUUCCGAUAUUGAACUUGAUGAUAUAAGAUAUGGUAACGAUGCGGAGAAAGAGGUCAGUGAUGAAGAGAUCGAAGCAGAAGAAUUGGAGCAGCGGAUGUGGAAGGACCGUGUUAAACUUAAGAGGAUCAAGGAGAGACAAAAGCUUGCAGUGCAGCAAGCUGCGGAGAAGCAAAAACCUAAGCAGACUACUGACCAAGCUCGCAGGAAGAAAAUGUCGAGAGCCCAAGAUGGGAUUCUCAAGUAUAUGCUGAAGCUUAUGGAAGUGUGCAAAGCCCGUGGCUUUGUGUAUGGGAUCAUUCCUGAGAAGGGUAAACCUGUGAGUGGUUCAUCGGAUAACAUAAGAGCUUGGUGGAAAGAAAAGGUGAAGUUUGAUAAGAAUGGACCGGCGGCGAUAGCGAAGUAUGAAGCUGAGUGCUUUGCCGUGGGUGAGGCUGACAGAAAUCGAAGUGGUAACUCUCAAAGCAUUCUUCAAGACCUCCAAGAUGCAACCCUGGGGUCUCUUUUGUCAUCCUUGAUGCAACACUGCGAUCCACCCCAGAGGAAGUACCCAUUAGAGAAGGGUGUUCCGCCGCCAUGGUGGCCUUCGGGAAAUGAUGGUUGGUGGGUAAAGCUAGGGCUACCAAAGGGACAGACUCCUCCUUACAAGAAACCGCAUGAUCUGAAGAAGAUGUGGAAAGUUGGAGUAUUGACUGCUGUCAUCAAGCAUAUGUCUCCUGAUAUUGCGAAGAUAAGGAGGCUUGUUAGACAGUCAAAGUGCCUGCAGGACAAGAUGACAGCCAAGGAGAGCUCAAUUUGGUUGGGAGUUUUAAGCCGAGAAGAAUCCUUGAUCCGGCAGCCCAGCAGCGAUAAUGGUAUGUCUGGCAUAACAGAAACACCUCCAGGUGGCCGUGGUGAAAAGAGGAAAACAGCUGCUAGUAGCGAAAGUGAUUACGACGUUGAUGGUGUUGACGAUGGUGUGGUUUCGGCUUCAUCUAAAGAUGACAGGAGAAUUCAACAAGUGGAUGUAGGCCCAGUUGGCAACCUCGGUAAUAAUACUCAUCUGGUACAAGAUAAAGAGCAAAUUGAAAAGCGGCCUAGGAGAAAAAAAUCCCGUGCAAGAUUGAACCCUGCCGAGCCACUGCCUGCAGUGCCACUCAAUGAUAAUGAAGGAUCAAGCUCUGCUGAUCAUCAGCCUGCACUGCCUCUUAAUGAUCAUCCACACGAAGAUCCUAGAAACACAGUGCCUGAUAUAAACCAUACUGAUGGUCAGUUGGUUGUAUACCGGAUGCAUGAACCCCAGCAGGAUGAUGGCACAAUCACUUCUUUGAGGCCUCAAGAGAAAGAUCUCCAGGGCCCAAGCCAAUAUCCCCAUUCAGAAUUUGAUCAUUUCUCUACCCUUCCAUCAGCUGACAUAAUCUCCACACAGAGCAUGUUUGUGGGUGGUGGGCCCCUACUGUAUCCAGUUGGGCAGAGUAAUGAAUUGCAUCAUGGUUCAACGUAUGAUUUUUAUAAUCCAUCAGUAGGUUAUGGACCCAGUCAUGAUGGGCAGCAGUCUCAGGUGGGAAUAAAUGAACAUAACAAGAGGACGGAGGAUGCUGGAGUCCUUGAAUUGGGGUUGCAUAGAAAUGAGACCAGCAUUGCUGGUGGAAACUUGAAUCGUCACGUGGAAGAAACAUUUCAAAGCAAUGGUGAGAAACCUGUUGAAAAUCACUUUGGCUCUCCGAUCAAUAGUCUGCCUUUGGAUUACAUAGGUCUCGACAGUCCAUUUCAUCUUGGAAUUGAUGGCACAAGUACAUUCGGUACU